rnacentral:rRNA from 1 species
CAGCAGUGGGGAAUAUUGGGCAAUGGGGGAAACCCUGACCCAGCAACGCCGCGUGAAGGAAGAAGGCCUUCGGGUUGUAAACUUCUUUUACCAGGGACGAAGGACGUGACGGUACCUGGAGAAAAAGCAACGGCUAACUACGUGCCAGCAGCCGCGGUAAUACGUAGGUUGCAAGCGUUGUCCGGAUUUACUGGGUGUAAAGGGCGUGUAGGCGGAGGAGCAAGUCAGAUGUGAAAUCCCGGGGCUUAACCCCGGAACUGCAUUUGAAACUGUUUCCCUUGAGUAUCGGAGAGGCAAGCGGAAUUCCUAGUGUAGCGGUGAAAUGCGUAGAUAUUAGGAGGAACACCAGUGGCGAAGGCGGCUUGCUGGACGACAACUGACGCUGAGGCGCGAAAGCGUGGGGAGCAAACAGGAUUAGA